GAUGAACGCUGGCGGCGUGCUUAACACAUGCAAGUCGAGCGAGUGAGUUCUUCGGAACGAUCUAGCGGCGGACGGGUGAGUAACACGUGGGCAACCUGCCUCAUAGAGGGGAAUAGCCUCCCGAAAGGGAGAUUAAUACCGCAUAAAAUUAUCGAGUGGCAUCACAUGAUAAUCAAAGGAGCAAUCCGCUAUGAGAUGGGCCCGAGGCGCAUUAGCUAGUUGGUGAGGUAACGGCUCACCAAGGCGACGAUGCGUAGCCGACCUGAGAGGGUGAUCGGCCACAUUGGGACUGAGACACGGCCCAGACUCCUACGGGAGGCAGCAGUGGGGAAUAUUGCACAAUAGGGGAAACCCUGAUGCAGCAACGCCGCGUGAGUGAUGAAGGUCUUCGGAUUGUAAAGCUCUGUCUUUGGGGACGAUAAUGACGGUACCCAAGGAGGAAGCCACGGCUAACUACGUGCCAGCAGCCGCGGUAA
rnacentral:rRNA from 1 species